rnacentral:rRNA from 1 species
GACGAACGCUGGCGGCGUGCUUAACACAUGCAAGUCGAACGGAAAGGCCCUGCUUUUGUGGGGUGCUCGAGUGGCGAACGGGUGAGUAACACGUGAGUAACCUGCCCUUGACUUUGGGAUAACUUCAGGAAACUGGGGCUAAUACCGGAUAGGAGCUCCUGCUGCAUGGUGGGGGUUGGAAAGUUUCGGCGGUUGGGGAUGGACUCGCGGCUUAUCAGCUUGUUGGUGGGGUAGUGGCUUACCAAGGCUUUGACGGGUAGCCGGCCUGAGAGUGUGACCGGCCACAUUGGGACUGAGAUACGGCCCAGACUCCUACGGGAGGCAGCAGUGGGGAAUAUUGCACAAUGGGAGGAAGCCUAAUGCAGCAACGCCGCGUGCGGGAUGACGGCCUUCGGGUUGUAAACCGCUUUCGCCUGUGACGAAGCGUGAGUGACGGUAAUGGGUAAAGAAGCACCGGCUAACUACGUG